rnacentral:pre_miRNA from 1 species
GAAAUACUCCCUCCGUCCGGAAUUACUUGUCAUCAAAAUGGAUGAAAAUGGAUGUAUCUAUAACUAAAAUACAUCUAGAUACAUCCAUUUCAAUGACAAGUAUUUCCGGACGGAGGGAGUACAAG